rnacentral:rRNA from 1 species
GUGAGGAAUAUUGCGCAAUGGAGGCAACUCUGACGCAGCCAUGCCGCGUGCAGGAAGAAGGCGCUACGCGUUGUAAACUGCUUUUAACCGGGAAGAAACCCCAGGACGUGUCCUGGGUUGACGGUACCGGAGGAAUAAGCACCGGCUAACUUCGUGCCAGCAGCCGCGGUAAUACGAAGGGUGCAAGCGUUAUCCGGAUUCAUUGGGUUUAAAGGGUGCGUAGGCGGAGCGUUAAGUCAGUGGUGAAAUACUGCAGCUUAACUGUAGACUUGCCAUUGAUACUGGCGCUCUUGAGUGCGCUUGAAGUGGGCGGAAUGUGCCGUGUAGCGGUGAAAUGCUUAGAUAUGGCACAGAACACCAAUUGCGAAGGCAGCUCACUAAGGCGAUACUGACGCUGAGGCACGAAAGCGUGGGGAUCGAACAGGAUUAGAUACCCCAGUAGUCC